GCGAGCGUAGUUCAAUGGCAGAACUCCUGCUUCCCAAGCAGGUAGUGCGGGUUCGAUUCCCGUCGCUCGCUCCA
rnacentral:tRNA from 2 species